rnacentral:rRNA from 1 species
GAUGAACGCUGGCGGCGUGCCUAAUACAUGCAAGUCGAGCGAACAGACGAGGAGCUUGCUCCUCUGACGUUAGCGGCGGACGGGUGGGUAACACGUGGAUAACCUACCUAUAAGACUGGGAUAACUUCGGGAAACCGGAGCUAAUACCGGAUAAUAUAUUGAACCGCAUGGUUCAAUAGUGAAAGACGGUUUUGCUGUCACUUAUAGAUGGAUCCGCGCCGCAUUAGCUAGUUGGUAAGGUAACGGCUUACCAAGGCAACGAUGCGUAGCCGACCUGAGAGGGUGAUCGGCCACACUGGAACUGAGACACGGUCCAGACUCCUACGGGAGGCAGCAGUAGGGUAUCUUCCGCAAUGGGCGAAAGCCUGACGGAGCAACGCCGCGUGAGUGAUGAAGGUCUUCGGAUCGUAAAACUCUGUUAUUAGGGAAGAACAAAUGUGUAAGUAACUAUGCACGUCUUGACGGUACCUAAUCAGAAAGCCACGGCUAACUACGUG